rnacentral:rRNA from 1 species
AAAUUGAAGAGUUUGAUCAUGGCUCAGAUUGAACGCUGGCGGCAGGCCUAACACAUGCAAGUCGAGCGGUAGCACAGAGAGCUUGCUCUCGGGGUGACGAGCGGACGGGUGAGUAAUGUCUGGGAAACUGCCUGAUGGAGGGGAUAACUACUGGAAACGGUAGCUAAUACCGCAUAAUGUCGCAAGACCAAAGUGGGGACCUUCGGUCGCCAUCAGAUGUGCCCAGAUGGGAUUAGUGGUAGUGGGGUAACGGCUCAGGGACGAUCCCUAGCUGGUCUGAGAGGAUGACCAGCCACACUGGAACUGAGACACGGUCCAGACUUCUACGGGAGGCAGCAGUGGGGAAUACACAAUGGCGCAAAUGCAGCCAUGCCGCGUGUGUGAAGAAGGCUUCGGUUGUAAAGCACUUUCAGCGGGGAGGAACGUGAGGUAAUAACUCAUGAUUGACGUUACCCGCAGAAGAAGCACCGUUAUCCGUGCCAGCAGCCGCGGUAAUACGCCACAAGCGUUAAUCGGAAUUACUGGCGUAAAGCGCACGCAGGCGGUCUGGUAGUCGAUGUGAAAUCCCCGUUGGGAACUGCAUUCGAAACUGGCAGGCUAGAGUCUUGUAGAGGGGGUAGAGAAUUCCAGGGUGCGGUGAAAUGCGUAGAAUCUGGAGGAACGGUUGGCGAAGCGCCCCUGACAAAGACUGACGCUCAGGUGCGAAAGCGUGGGAGCAAACAGGAUUAGAUACCCUGGUAGUCCACGCCGGAAACGAUGUCGAUUUGAGGUUGUGCCUUGGCGUGGCUUCCGGAUGCUAACGCGUUAAAUCGACCGCCUGGGGAACGGCCGCAAGGUUAAAACUCAAAUGAAUUGACGGGGGCCCGCACAAGCGGUGGAGCAUGUGGUUUAAUUCGAUGCAACGCGAAGAACCUUACGGUCUUGACAUCCACAGAACUUUCCAGAGAUGGAUUGGUGCUUCGGGAACUGUGAGACAGGUGCUGCAUGGCUGUCGUCAGCUCGUGUUGUGAAAUGUUGGGUUAAGUCCCGCAACGAGCUCAUCCUUUGUUGCCAGCGGUUAGGCCGGGAACUCAAAGGAGACUGCCAGUGAUAAACUGGAGGAAGUUGGGAUGACGUCAAGUCAUCAUGGCCCUGGACCAUUACACACGUGCUACAAUGGCAUAUACAAAGAGAAGCGACCUCGUUAACAGUAUGUCGUAGUCCGGAUUGGAGUCUGCAACUCAACUCCAUGAAGUCGGAAUCGCUAAAUCGGUCGAUCAGAAUGCUACGGUGAAUACGUUCCCGGCCUUGUACACGCCGCCCGUCACACCAUGGGAGUGGGUUGCAAAGAAGUAGGUAGCUUAACCUUCCGGGAGGGCGCUUACCACUUUGUGAUUCAUGACUGGGGUGAAGUCGUAACAGGUAACCGUAGGGAACCUGCGGUUGGAUCACCUCCUGC